rnacentral:rRNA from 1 species
CCUACGGGUGGCUGCAGUGGGGAAUAUUGGACAAUGGGGGGAACCCUGAUCCAGCCAUGCCGCGUGUGUGAAGAAGGCCCUCGGGUUGUAAAGCACUUUCAGUGAGGAAGAACGCCUGGUGGUUAAUACCCAUCAGGAAAGACAUCACUCACAGAAGAAGCACCGGCUAACUCCGUGCCAGCAGCCGCGGUAAUACGGAGGGUGCGAGCGUUAAUCGGAAUUACUGGGCGUAAAGCGCGCGUAGGUGGCUUGAUAAGCCGGUUGUGAAAGCCCCGGGCUCAACCUGGGAACGGCAUCCGGAACUGUCAAGCUAGAGUGCAGGUGAGGAAGGUAGAAUUCCCGGUGUAGCGGUGAAAUGCGUAGAGAUCGGGAGGAAUACCAGUGGCGAAGGCGGCCUUCUGGACUGACACUGACACUGAGGUGCGAAAGCGUGGGUAGCAAACAGGAUUAGAUACCCUUGUAGUC